AUUGAACGCUGGCGGCAUGCCUUACACAUGCGAGUCGAACGGCAGCACGGGAGCAAUCCUGGUGGCGAGUGGCGAACGGGUGAGUAAUACAUCGGAACGUGCCCAGUAGUGGGGGAUAACCCGGCGAAAGCCGGACUAAUACCGCAUACGACCUACGGGUGAAAGCGGGGGAUCGCAAGACCUCGCGCUAUCGGAGCGGCCGAUGUCAGAUUAGCUAGUUGGUGGGGUAAAGGCCUACCAAGGCGACGAUCUGUAGCUGGUCUGAGAGGACGACCAGCCACACUGGGACUGAGACACGGCCCAGACUCCUACGGGAGGCAGCAGUGGGGAAUUUUGGACAAUGGGCGCAAGCCUGAUCCAGCCAUGCCGCGUGCGGGAAGAAGGCCUUCGGGUUGUAAAACGCUUUUGUCAGGGAAGAAACGCUCCGGGCUAAUACCACGGAGUAAUGACGGUACCUGAAGAAUAAGCACCGGCUAACUACGUG
rnacentral:rRNA from 1 species